UUUUAUGGAGAGUUUGAUCCUGGCUCAGGAUGAACGCUGGCGGCGUGCCUAAUACAUGCAAGUCGAGCGAACGGACGAGAAGCUUGCUUCUCUGAUGUUAGCGGCGGACGGGUGAGUAACACGUGGAUAACCUACCUAUAAGACUGGGAUAACUUCGGGAAACCGU
rnacentral:rRNA from 1 species